rnacentral:rRNA from 1 species
CCUACGGGUGGCAGCAGUGAGGAAUAUUGGUCAAUGGGCGCGAGCCUGAACCAGCCAAGUCGCGUGAGGGAAGACGGUCCUAUGGAUUGUAAACCUCUUUUGUCGGGGAGCAAAAGACGCCACGCGUGGCGUUCCGAGAGUACCCGAAGAAAAAGCAUCGGCUAACUCCGUGCCAGCAGCCGCGGUAAUACGGAGGAUGCGAGCGUUAUCAGGAUUUAUUGGGUUUAAAGGGUGCGCAGGCGGAAGAUCAAGUCAGCGGUAAAAUUGAGAGGCUCAACCUCUUCGAGCCGUUGAAACUGGUUGUCUUGAGUGAGCGAGAGGUAUGCGGAAUGCGUGGUGUAGCGGUGAAAUGCGUAGAUAUCACGCAGAACUCCGAGUGCGAAGGCAGCAUACCGGCGCUCAACUGACGCUGAUGCACGAAAGUGUGGGUAUCGAACAGGAUUAGAUACCCUGGUAGUC